UUUAACAAAGUAAGUCUUUAAGUGUCAUAUAGUCUUAUUUUAUUGUAUUUUUUCUCUGGAUUCAAAGUGUUUUACAGCUGUUGCAGAGUAAGAAGUGUCAACUUCAUUGGACAUGAAGGAGAAAUCUCAAACAGAGCGGGAAGCAAUUAUGUAUUCAAGGUCAGGCAGAGCAAGAAACAUGCAUCAGAGCCCCCACCUGAGGCAGUUCUCACCUUGAUGAUUUUAUAAAUACCUGUGCAAUCAUUUAAGGAUGCUGUUAUAACUUGCUAUCACAGGAUUCAGGUCCAAGAACCCUCUCUUAGGAUCUGCACUGGGACCUACCCCUUUUUGGCAACAUGUUCUUGGCAACCACGAAGGGACUAUCCUGAGGAGAUCCCUGACCCAAAGGAAAUAGACUGCAGAACCAAUUGGCUGACUUUGGCGGGUCAAAGAAUAUGUGAGAUUCCCCACACAUUUAUGCCACAGGAGGAGAAAAGCCUGCCUAGGGGUGUUUUAACUUAUGCCCAGAAGUACCACCUGGAAGAGGCAACGAGACUUUAUUCAUAAGAAUCUAAGUGGAGCAUUCUCCCAGACAACCAGCGGCGGAGCAAGGAGGGGCUGGCCAAACAGUGACGUUGACUGGUGCAUGAGACGAACAGAGGCUCACAGAAGAGCCUCUGAAGAGCCCACAAAAAAUGUCCAUAAGGAGGUGCGACAGGCUUCAAGCCAAGGCUGUCUGACCUGAGACAAACCAAUGAUCACUCUCACACGCAUUAUCUAAAUAAAACUUAUCCACUU
rnacentral:lncRNA from 10 species